CAAAAUCUCUUGAGUAAAGCAUUUCACAUAUAAUCUGCAACAAUGAAGAUAAAGCCAUUCCCGCGUAACUUCAAACUACUUCACAAUUGUUACCUCAAGCCAUUAUGAUAUUCUUAUCCUUAUUGUGUUUUGAGUCAAAGACCCAAUCAUGAGAACAAAUGGAGUGACAGCAACUCGGCCAAGUGUGUUAAUGGAACUUUAUAUCCCCACUCAAGCCAACGUGAUGCUCGUAGUUGGCGUCUCCAUUAAUAGACCAGACAAGUUUUACAAUAGAGAGAGAGAGAAUUAAUCUCACCUAGUAGAAGAAUGUGAGGGCCAUGGAAUCAAGAGGCAGGCGAAACUCCCAUGGAAGGAUUUGAAGUGAAAAGAUAUGUUUCUGCAUUGCUUAUCAGAAGGGACUUGUUACUUUUCAUUCUGCUUCUACUUUUUUUUGCAGUCAUCAUGUGUUCUAGAUGUUGAUUGCUUGUAUAUUUAGAUCAUCAUAUUGCAAGGGGAUUGGUAAUUCCAUCUUUUUUGGUUGCUGGUGGAACUUCCUUUUAGUAGAUCUAAGACCUCUCUCUAUUUUGCAACUUCCUUGGAAUGAAAUUUUCCUCCGUUUUUCUCAAUUCUGUGAUGAGACACAAACGAGGUCAGAAAACACUUUGUGGUGCUUGACACAUUAAUUUAGCAGGCUCUCAUCAGCCAGCUCUUUAGUUCCUGCUAUAACAUCUGAGGAUGAAUUUGGUAGGUUUCUUGAUUUCUUUUCCAACUUAGCAGUUAGCACUGCAUAUUAGUAACUAGAUUUGGUUUUUACUGUGCUUUGAUGACCGUCUUUUUCCUGUGACAAAGCUGGCCCUGAUGAAGCAAAAGAGGCGUUGAAGAAAAUUGGUGCUGAAGAAGUGUUCACUGAGAGCCAAUUAGAAGUAAAGAAUGUCAAGAGUCUACUAAUACUGUCCAUCCAUUAACCCAUUCUACCAUAUUCUUAUGCAUGGACACAUCCAUUUUUGGCCAUUGGCACUUGAGUUCUUUAUUUACAUCUUAUUGACUUUGUACUAGCAUGAUCUAAAAGAACCUGCCCUUGGAUUAAACUGCGUUGGUGGCAAUGCUACUUCCUCGGUGAUGAAAUUUUUUAGGUGCAUUAAAUUUGUGUCGAGUGCUUCCCUUAUCUUUUUGAAGAGAGCUGAUUUAGUUUUGUUCUCUGGUGGGGAGGAACCAUGUAGACAUGUGGUGGGAUGUUUAAGAAACCAAUUACAGUGUCAACUUCAUCUUUUAUCUUCAAGGAUCUUUCUGUGAGGCGAUUUUGGUUGCAUAAUUGGAUCAGUUCAAAUGAUGUAACAGAGUGCAAAAGAAUGAUAGAUCACUUGCUAGAACUAGUGCGUGAUGGGAAGUUAGAAUUCGAGUUCGUCUUUUGUAACAACUAGUCAAAUUGCUGUAUUUAGGUCUCCAUAUCUUUCUAGUAAUUUUCAAUAGUAUUUAUCCUCAA